UACGUAGGGUGCGAGCGUUAAUCGGAAUUACUGGGCGUAAAGCGUGCGCAGGCGGCGCGUUAAGACAGGUGUGAAAGCCCCGAGCUUAACUUGGGAAUUGCGCUUGUGACUGGCGUGCUGGAGUGUGGCAGAGGGAGGUGGAAUUCCACGUGUAGCAGUGAAAUGCGUAGAGAUGUGGAGGAACACCGGAUGGCGAAGGCAGCCUCCUGGGCCAGCACUGACGCUCAUGCACGAAAGCGUGGGGAGCAAACAGG
rnacentral:rRNA from 1 species